ensembl:lncRNA GBA1LP glucosylceramidase beta 1 like, pseudogene
UCUCGCGGCACGGGUGGUGGGGCUGCUUCUUGACUUCCGCGCCUAGUGCGCAGGGCCCCAUUCUCCAGUCCCGCCCACGCGCCUUUGGAGGCUGCGGUGGGAUUUCCUUUUGCCUUCGGUUGGGGCUGCUGUUUCUCUUCGCCGACGUGGAUCCUCUAUCCUUCAGAGACUCUGGAACCCCUGUGCUCUUCUCCUCAUCUAGUGACCCUGAGGUGAUGGAGUUUUCAAGUCCUUCCAGAGAGGAAUGUCCCAAGCCUUCGGGUAGGGUAAGCAUCAUGGCUGGCAGCCUCACAGGAUUGCUUCUACUUCAGGCAGUGUCGUGGGCAUCAGAUGAGUGCCUUCAGCCGCUACAAGAGCAGAAGCAGUGGGCAUUGGAUGGAGCUGAGUACAGGACCAUACAGGCUAAUUGCACCGGCACAGGAAUCGGAUAUAACAUCAUCUGGGUACCCAUGGCCAGCUGUGACUUCUCCAUCCGCACCUACACCUAUGCAGACACCCCUGAUGAUUUCCAGUUGCACAACUUCAGCCUCCCAGAGGAAGAUACCAAGCUCAAGAUACCCCUGAUUCACCGAGCCCUGCAGUUGGCCCAGCGUCCCGUUUCACUCCUUGCCAGCCCCUGGACAUCACCCACUCGGCUCAAGACCAGGGGAGCGGGGAAUGGGAAGGGGCCACUCAAGGGACAGCCCAGAGACAUCUACCACCAGACCUGGGCCAGAUACAUUGUGAAGUUCCUGGAUGCCUAUGCUGAGCACAAGUUACAGUUCUGGGCAGUGACAGCUGAAAAUGAGCCUUCUGCUGGGCUGUUGAGUGGAUACCCCUUCCAGUGCCUGGGCUUCACCCCUGAACAUCAGCGAGACUUCAUUGCCCGUGACCUAGGUCCUACCCUUGCCAACGGUACUCACCACAAUGUCCGCCUACUCAUGCUGGAUGACCAACGCUUGCUGCUGCCCCACUGGGCAAAGGUGGUACUGACAGACCCAGAAGCAGCUAAAGGCCUGUGUGGGUUCCAAGUUCUGGGAGCAGAGUGUGCGGCUAGGCUCCUGGGAUCGAGGGAUGCAGUACAGCCACAGCAUCAUCACAAACCUCCUGUACCAUGUGGUCGGCUGGACCGACUGGAACCCAUCAUUGUAGACAUCACCAAGCACACGUUUUACAAACAGCCCAUGUUCUACCACCUUGGCCACUUCAGCAAGUUCAUUCCUGAGGGCUCCCAGAGAGUGGGGCUGGUUGCCAGUCAGAAGAACGACCCGGACGCAGUGGCACUGAUGCAUCCCGAUGGCUCUGCUGUUGUGGUCGUGCUAAACCGCUCCUCUAAGGAUGUGCCUCUUACCAUCAAGGAUCCUGCUGUGGGCUUCCUGGAGACAAUCUCACCUGGCUACUCCAUUCACACCUACCUGUGGCGUCGCCAGUGAUGGAGCAGAUACUCAAGGAGGCACUGGGCUCAGCCUGGGCAUUAAAGGGACAGAGUCAGCUCACACGCUGUCUGUGACUAAAGAGGGCACAGCAGGGCCAGUGUGAGCUUACAGCGACGUAAGCCCAGGGGCAAUGGUUUGGGUGACUCACUUUCCCCUCUAGGUGGUGCCAGGGGCUGGAGGCCCCUAGAAAAAGAUCAGUAAGCCCCAGUGUCCCCCCAGCCCCCAUGCUUAUGUGAACAUGCGCUGUGUGCUGCUUGCUUUGGAAACUGGGCCUGGGUCCAGGCCUAGGGUGAGCUCACUGUCCGUACAAACACAAGAUCAGGGCUGAGGGUAAGGAAAAGAAGAGACUAGGAAAGCUGGGCCCAAAACUGGAGACUGUUUGUCUUUCCUGGAGAUGCAGAACUGGGCCCGUGGAGCAGCAGUGUCAGCAUCAGGGCGGAAGCCUUAAAGCAGCAGCGGGUGUGCCCAGGCACCCAGAUGAUUCCUAUGGCACCAGCCAGGAAAAAUGGCAGCUCUUAAAGGAGAAAAUGUUUGAGCCCA